rnacentral:rRNA from 1 species
ACUCAAAGGAAUUGACGGGGAGGCGCACAAGCAGUGGAGCAUGUGGUUUAAUUCGAGACGAAGCGAAAAACCUCACCAGGAUUUGACAUGUAGAUGCUAAUUCCGUGAAAGCGGAACUCCUUCGAGGGUUCUACACAGAUGCUGCAUGGCUGUCGUCAGCUCGUGGCGUGAGCUGUACCGUUAAGUCGGGAAACGAGCGCAACCCGCACCAUAUGUUAAAUAAUUCAUAUGGAACUGCCCCGUAAGGGGAGGAAGGCGCGGAUGACGUCAAGUCCGCACGGCUCUUACAUCCUGGGCUACACACAUCCUACAAUGGACAACAACAAUGAGCUGCAAGCCGGUAACGGCAAGCCAAUCUCUGAAAUUUGUCCUCAGUUCGGAUUGGGGUCUGCAACUUGACCCCAUGAAGUCGGAAUUGCUAGUAAUCGCGGAUCAGCAGGUCGCGGUGAAUACGUUCUCGCCUCUUGUACACACCGCCCGU